AUGACCUGGUACAGUUUCAGUUUCCAGCAAGUAGCUGCUAACAUGCAGUGCCUAAAGGCUGCCUCAUGUUUAUCAAGUUUUGAGAACAACGAGACAGAUCUGCAGUCCUGUCCCCACUGGGAAAAGGAAGUGGCAUCUGUUCCUGCUUUGUCCUCAGAGCUGCCAGCGAGGGUGUCUGGAUCAGCCAUCCAUCCUUUGCCAGCGCAUGUAGUCAGCCAGCAAACCAGGCCAGAGAGCCCUGUUCUGCUGAUGCAAAUGAGAAUUGGCCUGGAAGUGCUCUAAUACAUGGGAAGGAGCCAAUAGUCCCUCCGAUUGUUGAGAGAGCAGAAGAGUUUUAAAUCAUCUUUAUUCUGCUUGUCCUUGGGCGUUGUGCUAAGCAAAGCUCAGGCUUACCAACCUUGGCUUCCUGCUCUGGCCAUCACUCUGAUGUCUGUUGUGCUGGCUGUGCCUGUAUCACACAGCAGGUAGGUGCAGCUUGUUGCUUUCUGUCCUGAACAGUGUUAAAAUGCUAAGGCUCACAUGGAGCCAUACCUCCUUACAUGUGAGCUACUGCUUCUGCCUGGACCUACUGUGAACAGAAAGUUCUGUGCUGAGACUUCUCAGUCCUUCCACGAACACUGUGAUCGGCCCCAGGUUUCUGGAAGGCAUGUUGUACAGUUUUCUAGACGUUGUUAAUCCAGGAUGGCAAUUUUCCAGUUACAUACGGCACAAAGUAGUCAAUAGAGAGAAUUAGAAAUGCCACGGGUGUGUGCAGGGCUUCAGACAGGAGAGACCUGAGCAUGCAGCUGAGCAGGGGAUGGAGGCAGGGACCAAAGCUGUGCUGCCCGUGUCACAGAUGCCACUCACCCUCCUCUCCCUGCUGACUUCAGUACAUCACCGAAGCCAAAUCAGAUCAGCACGGUGCUUGCUGUAAUGCAAUUUUCAGUGUGAAGUGGAGCAGGAAGAAUAGCAUAUCUGAACUCCAGAAGAAGCAGUUCACACUGACUUUCUGACACAACAGAUGCCCAACACUCCCUCCUUCCCACAGCAAUUUCUGCACCUCUCCUUAGUUUGUCGCUGAGCUGGAGCAUAUUUUGCAAUCCAGACUUGAUUUAAGCUCUUUGGGUGAUGGUGAAUUCACAACCUCCUGAUCUAAAUUGUUCUAAUUAAUUCGAUGGUUAAGAAUUUCUACCUUAUCCUUUACCCGAAUUUAUUUCUCUUCAGCUUCCAGCUGCAAAAUCUUAUUAUGCUGUUGUCAAUGAGAUUAAGGUUUCCUCUCCAUGCAGGUACACAGGGUAGCAUUAAUCUCUCCUGUUUUAGACAUCUGCAGUGUACAUCCAUAUCUGCACUAAUGGUUGGUGCUACAUGUAUGGUCAAAGGAGAGAAACGGAGUCUAAUAGGAUGCACGUUACACAGAUGAGACAAACUACCCUUUAGAAGUGCCUUUUUCUUUCAGGAUGGAUGGGCAGCUCAGCUGCAGACAACAAAAUUUAAGGAAGGUGAACUUCACAGACUGAACGUAUUCACCACUUAUUCUAGUGAAGCUGUUUGGGUCAAGUUAUGGUUAAACCUACUGAAGAAAGAGCCCUCUGUGAAACUGACAGAAAUGGCAGGCUUCAGGCAUACUUCUUAGGAAAGCUCAGCCCUGUUCUUCACUCUGUAUCAGCAGAUGCUGGUUGGUGGCUGGAAAUUGCUUCCAUCUCACUGCAGAGUCUGCGCCACGUCCAUUUGUCAGUGUAGUCCCAUUUCAGCUUUCAGGCUUUAUGCAUGUGUAAAUUACACUUGUUUCCAGCUCUCAGUGUUUCAGGGUUACCUGGAAUUUAUCUUGUUUCCCCACAAGUAGAUUACAUGGAAGAAGGAGUGUUGAUUUCUAGAACUGAGCAAACUAAUGAGCUGAUAUUUCUUUUUCGUCAUCUGAUCUGAUUUUGAAAUUAUUUCUGCCUCAGCCCUGGAAGAGAACAGACUAUCGGGGUCACAUGCAAAGAGAGUUCAAAGCCCGGUUUUUAACUAUAUGGAGAAAUGGGUUACAAUCAAUAAGAUUCAACUUAAAUUGAUUUCCUAUAGGGAAGAGUCUGCCCUAUAAUAUCUGAAAGUCAUUAGUCAAUGUCUCUUUGAAGUAUUGAAUUUAUUAUGAAAACCCUGAAGAAAUGCUAUUUUAAAUCCAUGGAAGCUUAUGUACUUACUGGAUUAUAGCUGUAUAUUAAAUAUAACGCUCCCCAUCUAAUGAAUCACAGCAGCAUUUUCACACUAUCAUUAGUCUGAAUUUCUUCUUGGUCCUGCACACUCACACAAAAGGUACCUAUAAAAUGCCUUUCUGGCAUUAUGCCCACUUAAUUAUCAUCUUGGAGAUUAUUAUAAUGGGAACAAGGGGAUCUCCUUUGAGAGUACAAGGCCCAUAUAAUAGCUUCUUUAUCCAUUAAUGUUUAGGAUCUUCCUUCUGAUGUUCCAGAUGUCUGGCAAAGGGUUCUGGGUUUGGGGUGUUUGCUGGGGCUUGUUGCACUUGCCUAUCUGCCCAGCCAUGGGAUUUUCUGUCUCUGCAUUACGUUUAUAUUUACUGUCUCACACAGGCAAACGUGUGACUCAGUGAAUGUCCCUCACCUACAUUUUGCUGUAGCAUAAAGCACAUAGCAUCUCAGCUUGUGACUGCAGGCUACAUCUACUGAUUAAACCCACUGAGCGUGAGUAGUCCUGACAGCUCUAUCAGUGGGAUGUUUUAUGGGGCUUCAGCCAGCCCAGCACAGAAGAUAGCUGCUGGGAUUUCUGCCUGGAGGCUGGUGGACAGGGCAGGGAGGUGUGAUGCUGAAAUCAUAUUUUAGGAGAGGGGAAGUCAGAAGGCAACACGUUGAUGAGUCCUGGUUUUCCUGGGUGGGAGCCGUCCUCAGUCUCUCUUCAGGACAAAUGAUCCAGUAAGACCGAGGCUCACAUAUUACCUAAUUUUGUCAUAUUCUCAGCCAGGAUUUCUACUGAUAUUAGAGAGUAAACUUCUCUAGUAAAUAAAAACACUGCAGUUCGAAAGCUCCUACAGGGUAAAUCAGCAAAUAUUUGUUUUGCUGCUGAU
ensembl:lncRNA